UACGGAGGGUGCAAGCGUUAUCCGGAUUCACUGGGUUUAAAGGGUGCGUAGGUGGGCAGGUAAGUCAGUGGUGAAAUCUCCGGGCUUAACCCGGAAACUGCCAUUGAUACUAUAGGUCUUGAAUUUUCUGGAGGUUAGCGGAAUAUGUCAUGUAGCGGUGAAAUGUCUUAGAUAUGACAUAGAACACCAAUUGCGAAGGCAGCUAACUACAGGGAUAUUGACACUGAGGCACGAAAGCGUGGGGAUCAAACAGG
rnacentral:rRNA from 1 species